GAGCGGUUUCCGAGGCCUCACGCGCUGGCGGGGCUGUUGAGAUCGGUUGGGGGCUCCCAGGCCGCGAGGCGCGCUGCCAGUUGGGAUGAAAAUGGCGGAUGAGGCCGGGCGCGGUGGCUCACGCCUGUGGUCCCAGCACUUUGGGAGGCCGAGGCGGGCGGAUCACAAGGUCAGGAAAUCGAGACCAUCCUGGCGAACACUGUGAAACCCCGUCUCUUCUAAAAAUACAAAAAAAAAUUAGCCAGGCGUGGUGGCGGGCGCUUGUAGUCCCAGCUACUCAGGAUGCUGAGGCAGGAGAAUGGCGUGAACCCGGGAGGCGCAGCUUGCAGCGAGCCAAGAUGGCGCCGCUGCACUCCAGCCUGGGCAGCAGAGCGAGACUCCAUCUCAAAAAAAAAAAAAAAAAAAAAGAAAAGAAAAGAAACUGGCGGACAAAGGAAGAGAUCCUCCUUCAGGCAGGGUAGGGAAGAAGGGCACUCGGUGACCAGAGACCUUUUCCAGGACCAUGUCUUUGAAGCAAAUCUCAGCUCUUGUCUUCCGGAAGCGAUGGAGACAGAAUCCAGAAGCCUGAGCAGACUCUCUCCUUUCCUGGCUUUGAUGAAGCAAGCUGCCACACUGGAGAGGCCUACAUGAUAAGGACCUGAAGGUGGCCUCCAGCUAGCUCCAGCCAACAGUUGGCAAGGAAUUGAGGACCUGAGUCCAAUAGACCUUGAGGAACUGAAUCCUGCAACAGCUACACAAGUGAGCAUGGCAGUGUAUCCUUCCCCAGUAAAGCCUUCAGAUGAGACCCCAGCCCCAGCUGACACCUUGAUUGAAGCCUUGUGAGAGACCCUGAAGCAGAGAAACCAGCUAGGCCUUGCCUGGAUUCCUGAUCCACAAACUGCUUUUGUGAUGCCCUAUAAUUACAUGAACUCUACUAAAAAGAGGGAUACUGGAAAGAAGAAUAAUGUUGAGACACCUUUGCAGAAGAAAAAACAACUUCCUCUCUUCCUCUACUUCACUCUGGCAAGUUCUCCAACCUGACAAGCCAGUAGGGAGUGCCGGAAUGUCAUGGCUGAGAAAAGAGAUGUUAACAGGCUGUAUGAUGUUGGCCACAGAGUGCCCCCCUAAAGAGGCCUCAGAAGAAUGAAGGGUAAGAAGCUCCUCCAUGAAAUCAGAUGGCACAAAAUUAGAGGAAAAAGAGUCCUUGGCAUGAGGCUGCCACCAGGAGAAUUCUGAAGAUGCAGGGCAUGAAUGGUCAAUGCCUUUCGUUGUUGGGGCAGAGGUGGAUGACCCACCAGAGCCACCUAGAGAUAACAUUUCCGGAAAAGUCUUCAAGACGCUGAAAGAGGAUUUCUUCUGUGAGAGCCACACUUGAUGUGCUCAGUUAGAAGUCCUCAUCCAGGGCACAGACUCAGAGGUCGACAGUCACAUCUGUGCUCCCUCACAGGGCAAGCAUCCCAGAGACAGAGCUCUGGCUCCAGCCUCUGCUCAGAGACUCUCAGCGUUACUCCCCUGGUCAGCCCAACAAGAAGGAAGGCUUUGUUGAAUGACGGGUGACAUGGGAAUCUGACUCAUGAUCAAAUUUCAGCAGAGACUAUUCUCCUUCAGAGAGCCCAGACUCUCUAAAUAAUCCCACCUGGGACCACAGAAUUACUGUUUGGGAUUUUAUCCUGGAACUCUCCACCACAGCCGGAUAGGUAGUCUAUGAGCUACAGAUGGAAACCUUUGUCCUCCUGAACCCCUACAUCUGCCCAACCUGUUCCACAGAAGAGUGAAGUUCUAUCCUCUCUUCAGACUUCCCAUCUAAGACAUGUCUCUGUACUAACCAAACUUAUUUAGAAAUGUGGGAAUAGGAUUCGGAAACAAAAACAGGGCAUCUCUCUUGGGUGUUCACCCACAGUUCCUUACCUUUUGGGUGUCAUUAUUUUUUUCGGUGGGUGAUGAAUACAGGGUCAAUACCAUGUAGAACAAGUACAGUAUAAACAACCCCAACCCACUCAAGCAGAUGAAGUUGAGGUCAAUAUCCAAACAAUGUGAGUCAGGGCUCAGCCCUGUCUCAGUAUAGCUGUUCAGAAAACAGAGGAUAUUCUCCAUGGUCUGAAUAGCUCAGCUGCCUGAAGCAACUGAGCACUGAGGGUGCCCAGGCUUAACUGUAAGCACAGGCCUGCAUCACAGAGCGUGGAAGAGUCACAGAGGGUUUCUGAGGGUGGAGGGAUCAACAAGAGGAGGGUGUGUCCACAGCCCCAACCCCACCAGCCCAGCUGACUCCACCUUCCUGGGCCCUCUAGGUCGCUCUGUCCUACCCUAACACUCCAUUUCCCAACUCCAUCCUUUUUCAAGUCAUAUAUUUAUCUUAGUUGAAUUUUCCGUUUGUUCCAACAGUAAACCAGGCAUUACCCAAGUCCCACUUCGCUGUUUGGAGCCCUUAACUUGGACCCCACCAACUACACUGCCUUGAAAGCCUGAAAUACUGCCUGGAAUAUUUGUUGUACCCAGGCUUUUCUACUCUCAGGAUCACAUAUGUCCUCAAAUCCGUCUUAUCUACAGUAUGUUUUUGCCUUACAUAAAUGCAGAUAUAAAACUUAAACUUCCUUUAUUCUUACUUCGUUUCGUGAAUGGUGAACAUUACAUUCUUUGUUUGAAGUCAGUUUUUACUAUUUCCAAUCAGAGGGACUGACUCAAAUGAUUAAAACUAACGUUAUCAAGGAAAAGAAGCUCCCUGCCCAAUUUGAUUUUUUUGAGAAAAGAUGUUUUUAUUGGAAAUUAACCAAAAAGGAGACAGGAGUCCAGCUCAAAUCAGUCCUGUGUGCUGGCUUUCAUGCAGUCAUUUUAUUAGAAAACAUUUAGGGAGUGGCCUCUGGAAUUAAUAGUUGAUUGCUGGAAGGAAAGGGGAGGUCUGAAAAUCCUCGGCAUGCACAGUUUUCUUUAACGCUGCCUCAUGUAUUCCAUGGGCACAUUUGUGGGGAGUUGGUUAAAAUGUGGCAGAAAUUUGGGCUGUGACGCCAGCCAGCUUGUUCUGUGCAAACUCCAGUUGGCCUUAAUAGUUUUAAUCCAUUUUAGCCAGUUUUUAAAUCUCAGAAGCAGGGAGAGUUUCGGCAUUUUAGCAAGUUACUGUUGUUGUUUUUGUUUGAUCUCCUUUCUUGUAAACUGAUUAAUUUCAUUAGUCAUUGUUUUCUUCAACUCUCUGGGGCAUGGUUUCACUAAUAAUGCAUUAUUUAACAUCUACAAAAUGAAAAUAAGUGUACAAUAAAUGUAUAUAAUUGAAACUUCCAGGGACCUUAGGGGUAAAUUUAUAGAACUUAUUUUUCUCAAGUUAGUGAAGUUUAAACUGUUCAAGCACUUUUGGAACAUACUCUGUACACAAACACACAUACGCAUCGACCUAAAAGGGAGAAGUUGAUGGAAAAUUAUUAUAAGUAGAGAGUUAAUUUGGGUCAAGCUUGAGGAUUGCAACCUGGGAACACAGAUGCAAGUCAGCCUAAAUAUACACUCCAAUUACCAGUAGUUAUGAGUGGGUUUUUAAAGUGGAAAAAGGGGACAAGGAGUCGGCUGAUACAAAGUUGUAAUCAGGAAUUCUCAUUGGUUUACAGGAGUGACAUUGCUUAGUGAUUGGCUGUACAUUAUUAAGCUAUAGGGGGUGGGUUAUCCUGUCAGGUGUGGCAUUAUUGGGUUACUAUAUAGCUCCAUAUGGCAAUAGCAAGCAGUUUCAAGAGAUGAAUGUGUAGCUCAAGGAGGAAAUAAGGCUGUGAUUUCUGUCUCAUUUUAAUGUCUCUCUAGGCCUGAUAACUUAAAAGGACUCACAUGCCUCAGAUAAAAGUUCUUUUCUUUACAAACACAUCCACACACCCAUCCUGUGACAAAUCAAUGAGUGUUUUCAAAUCCAGAAUCAAUUAGUUCCUCCUUUUAUUUUAAUUUCUUAUUUGUCAUUUUGACCCCACAUUUUCUAACUCUACCGCAAACACAACCAGGCCCAACCCUCCACAUCACUUUGGUGGCAAGUAUGCAACUCCCUUAAAGCAGGGAUAGGUUACAGUGCGCUAAGCUAUUGUGAUCUAAAAGACCAAAAUAGAUGCCCCUUUAUCAACUAAGACAGACCCUUAGGUUAAGGAAACAAAGUUACCGAUGGGUCAAGGGUUCAGGGCCUGGAUGGCAUGGCAAAUUUCUAACUUUCUAUAACUAAACUCCCUCUCACCAAAUGAGCUAUCGGCUCUGAUUGGACA
rnacentral:lncRNA from 1 species